rnacentral:snoRNA from 1 species
AUAGACUCACAUCAUGGGAAAUGCCUCAUAGAGUAACGAUGUGGUUAGCUUCACUCACAAAACUAAGCAUUAGAUCUGUGGGAGAAAAACUACAAGACCUAC